GGCUUCGCACCUUAGUUACUUAUUUGAGAGGGGGGCCGCCAUCGCCCCUACUACUUUAUAGGGGCGGAGCCAC
rnacentral:tRNA from 1 species